rnacentral:rRNA from 1 species
GAACGCCCGCAAUGUUUAAAAAGUAAAAUGAAUUGACCUGUGGCCCGCACAAGCCUGUGGAGCAUGUGGUUUAAUUCGAUGCAACGCGAAGAACCUUACCCCCCCCCUGACAUCCAGAGAACUUUCCAGAGAUGGAUUGGUGCCUUCGGGAACUCUGAGACAGGUGCUGCAUGGCUGUCGUCAGCUCGUGUUGUGAAAUGUUGGGUUAAGUCCCGCAACGAGCGCAACCCUUAUCCUUUGUUGCCAGCGAUUCGGUCGGGAACUCAAAGGAGACUGCCGGUGAUAAACCGGAGGAAGGUGGGGAUGACGUCAAGUCAUCAUGGCCCUUACGAGUAGGGCUACACACGUGCUACAAUGGCGUAUACAAAGAGAAGCGAACUCGCGAGAGCAAGCGGACCUCAUAAAGUACGUCGUAGUCCGGAUUGGAGUCUGCAACUCGACUCCAUGAAGUCGGAAUCGCUAGUAAUCGUAGAUCAGAAUGCUACGGUGAAUACGUUCCCGGGCCUUGUACACACCGCCCGUCACACCAUGGGAGUGGGUUGCAAAAGAAGUAGGUAGCUUAACUUCGUGAGGCGCUUACCACUUUGAGGCACCCC